CCUGGUGACCAGGCUUCAUAGAGGGCAUCACAACCCUCCCUGGUGAACAGGCUUCAUAGAGGGCAUCACAACCCUCCCUGGUGACCAGGCUUCAUAGAGGGCAUCACAACCCUCCCGGUGACCAGGUUUUAUAGAGGGCAUCACAACCCUCAUCACAACCCUCCCUGGUGACCAGGCUUCAUAGAGGGCAUCACAACCCUCCCUGGUGACCAGGCUUCAUAGAGGGCAUCACAACCCUCCCUGGUGACCAGGCUUCAUAGAGGGCAUCACAACCCUCCCUGGUGAACAGGCUUCAUAGAGGGCAUCACAACCCUCCCUGGUGACCAGGCUUCAUAGAGGGCAUCACAACCCUCCCCGGUGACCAGGCUUCAUAGAGGGCAUCACAACCCUCCCUAGUGACCAGGCUUCAUAGAGGGCAUCACAACCCUCAUCACAACCCUCCUUGGUGACCAGGCUUCAUAGAGGGCAUCACAACCCUCCCUGGUGACCAGGCUUCAUAGAGGGCAUCACAACCCUCCCUGGUGACCAGGCUUCAUAGAGGGCAUCACAACCCUCCC
ensembl:lncRNA